rnacentral:rRNA from 1 species
AGAUUGCAGGCUGCAACCCGCCUGCAUGAAGUCGGAAUUGCAGUAAUCGCGGAUCAGCAUGCCGCGGUGAAUACGUUCCCGGGCCUUGUACACACCGCCCGUCACACCAUGGGAGCCGGUAAUACCCGAAGUCAGUAGUCCAACCUCGUGAGGACGCUGCCGAAGGUAGGAUUGGCGACUGGGGUGAAGUCGUAACAAGGUACC